UACGAAGGGUGCAAGCGUUACUCGGAAUUACUGGGCGUAAAGCGUGCGUAGGUGGUUUGUUAAGUCUGUUGUGAAAGCCCCGGGCUCAACCUGGGAAUGGCAAUGGAUACUGGCAAGCUAGAGUGCGGUAGAGGGUAGUGGAAUUCCCGGUGUAGCGGUGAAAUGCGUAGAGAUCGGGAGGAACACCAGUGGCGAAGGCGGCCUUCUGGACGGUGACUGACGCUGAGGCGCGAAAGCGUGGGGAGCAAACGGG
rnacentral:rRNA from 1 species